AGUGAACGCUGGCGGUAGGCCUAACACAUGCAAGUCGAACGGCAGCACAGGAGAGCUUGCUCUCUGGGUGGCGAGUGGCGGACGGGUGAGGAAUACAUCGGAAUCUGCCCAGUCGUGGGGGAUAACGUAGGGAAACUUACGCUAAUACCGCAUACGACCUUCGGGUGAAAGAGGGGGAUCGCAAGACCUCUCGCGAUUGGAUGGGCCGAUGUCGGAUUAGCUAGUUGGCGGGGUAAUGGCCCACCAAGGCGACGAUCCGUAGCUGGUCUGAGAGGAUGAUCAGCCACACUGGAACUGAGACACGGUCCAGACUCCUACGGGAGGCAGCAGUGGGGAAUAUUGGACAAUGGGAGCAAGCCUGAUCCAGCCAUACCGCGUGGGUGAAGAAGGCCUUCGGGUUGUAAAGCCCUUUUGUUGGGAAAGAAAUCUUUCAGGCUAGUACCCUGGGAGGAUGACGGUACCCAAAGAAUAAGCACCGGCUAACUUCGUG
rnacentral:rRNA from 1 species